GAUGAACGCUGGCGGCGUGCUUAACACAUGCAAGUCGAACGAGAAAUGUAGACGGAAACCUUCGGGCGGAAGCCUUCAUUUCGAGUGGCGGACGGGUGAGUAACGCGUGGGUAACCUGCCUCAUACAGGGGGAUAACAGUUGGAAACGACUGUUAAUACCGCAUAAGACCACAGCAUCGCAUGAUGCGGGGGUAAAAACCCGGUGGGAUGGGAUGGACCCGCGUUCGAUUAGCCAGUUGGCGGGGUAACGGCCCACCAAAGCGACGAUCGAUAGCCGAUCUGAGAGGAUGACCGGCCACAUUGGGACUGAGACACGGCCCAAACUCCUACGGGAGGCAGCAGUGGGGAAUAUUGCACAAUGGGGGAAACCCUGAUGCAGCGACGCCGCGUGAGUGAAGAAGUACUUCGGUAUGUAAAGCUCUAUCAGCAGGGAAGAAAAUGACGGUACCUGAGUAAGAAGCCCCGGCUAACUACGUG
rnacentral:rRNA from 1 species